rnacentral:rRNA from 1 species
UGCUUCAAACCCAUGCCCUACUAUUACUACAAUCACCUUUUUAAACCCACACAACCAAAACAUUUGACACGAGCAGUAUAGGCGAUAGAACCCCAUAAUAUUUAGGCGCACUCUAGUACCGCAAGGGAACACAGAAAGAAAAAUUAAAAAUAUUAAAGCAAAAACAGCAGAGAUUAACCCACGUACCUCUUGCAUCAUGGUUUAACAAGUCACAGUAGACAAAAAGACCUUUCAGCCUACACCCCCGAAAUCAGGUGAGCUACCUCCGACCAACUUUCAAGAGUCAACCCGUCACUGUUGCAAAAGUGUGGGAUGAGUUAGAGGUAGAAGUGAAAAGCCAAACGAACCUGACGAUAGCUGGUUGUCCAACUAAAUGAACCUCAGUUCAACUUUAAGCCCCAUACCACAACUACCACUAUUAGUAAACCACCCUCAAGCUUAAAAGAUAGUCAACGGGGGCACAGCCCCUUUGACCAAGGAAACAACCUUCAAUAGAGACAAACACCCCAUUAUAAACCACCGUAGGCCCUACAGCAGCCAACAACAACCCAGUGCGUUAAAGCAACCCCCCCCCCAAUCCCAAAAAUACCAAGCACCUCCUAUUAUUCAAUGGACUACCCUAUUAACAUAGGGACACUCAUGUUAAAACUAGUAACAAGAACACCCGCAUUCUCCCAGCACAAGUAAAACUUAACAGACCACAACACCGAAACCACGAACCAAACAAGAUAGACCCACUCUUAACAAACUGUUAACCCAACUCAGGCGUGCGCAAGGAAAGAUUAAAAACUACAAAAGGAACUCGGCAACCCAAAAAUCUCAACUGUUUACCAAAAACAUAGCCUUUAGCCAAAAAAGUAUUAAAGGUGACGCCUGCCCAGUGACACUAUUGUUCAACGGCCGCGGGAUUCUCCACCGUGCAAAGGUAGCAUAAUCACUUGUCCCCUAAAUAGCGACUAGUAUGAAUGGCCAAAUGAAGAUUUACCUGUCUCUUGUAGUUAAUCUGUAAAACUGAUCUUUCAGUCCAAAAGCUGAAAUAAAAACACAAGACGAAAAGACCCUGUGGAACUUUUAAACUGCCGCCACCACCAUGGCCCAGCCGCUUUCAGUUGGGGCAACUUUGGAAAUAAGCAAAACUUCCAAUCAAGGAGACCACAUCCACCUAGAGGUUAACACACCGACAACACCCUCCUAAACUGAUCCAGUACUACUGACCAAAGAAACAAGCUACCCCAGGGAUAACAGCGCCAUCCCCUCCUAGAGUCCCAAUCGAAGAGCGGGGCUUACGACCUCGAUGUUGGAUCAGGGCCCCCAAACAGUGCAGCAGCUGUUAAAGGUUUGUUUGUUCAACAAUUAAUGCCCUACGUGAUCUGAGUUAAGACCGGAGCAAUCCAGGUCGGUUUCUAUCUGUGCACUGUCUAUUCUAGUACGAAAGGACCGAAAAGACCAAGUCAAUGCUAAACAGUACACUUGCCAACCCAAAGACUGACUAAUCUAAAAUCUAAAAGUACCCUUCACCACCGCCCGAUACACAGGGCUU